CAAAUACUCCCUCCGUCCAGAAAUACUUGUCAUCAAAAUGGAUAAAAGGAAAUGUAUCUAGACGUAUUUUAGUUUUAGAUACAUCUCUUUUUAUCCAUUUUCAUGACAAGUAUUUUCGGAUGGAGGGAGUAGAAA
rnacentral:pre_miRNA from 1 species